rnacentral:tRNA from 1 species
GUAUUGGUGGUUUAGUGGUGGAAUUCUCACUUUCCAUGCAGGAGACCCUGGUUCGAUUCCUGGCCAAGGCA